UCAGACCCAGGGAGGCCAAUAUAAGCACUGUAGUGCUGGGCUUGAGACAUAACUGGGGAAAGGUUCCAGAACCGACGAGAUGUGAUCCGCUACAGUGCUUUAAGGAACGCACGCUCAAUUCCGACAGACGCUCUUAAGCGGCUGAUCUGAAAUACUUCGCCUUUGACACCAAAAGUCACAGGCUUCCCAGGCCCUGGUCCAGGAGAGCAAUGAUAAAAGUGGAUGGAAUUUGGAUUUGAAGACCAGGGGGGAGGGAGGGAGGGAGGUCACACCUCAGGGUGCUGACAAGAGUGGAAAGAUCCGGGGAAGAAGGUUCAACUUUGGGCCUCUUCCUGUGGGCCCUGUCUGAACUUUGUCCUCGGGGCUGACUCGAAAUUUGCUAAUUGAUUAACCCGAAGCUUGGCUCCAGUGCCCGACUUCGUGAAAUCUCUAAGUCGCUCCCUAUAAGGGACUGUCCUGUCUGCUACUUGGCCGGUUCUGCUGCCCUCUGCAGUCGCCCCCACACCCAAGUGAUUCUGAACAUUCCAUUUCUAGUCCAUGCAUGUAGGAACAGAGGGAUUGUGGAGACCGAACAUGAAGUGCUUUCCAAGUUUUACCCAGGAUGCCUUUGGAGCACCAGAAAUCGUCUGAAAGUGUCUCAAAGGUAUAAAGCAAGAAGAUGAAGUCAAUGGAGGGUUGAUAUGGUCAGAAAACGUGGGAAUCAGACUCCUCCCAUAUUACAGGUGAUAUGCAACAGGGGGAAAAAAAAAUAAUUGCACCAGACCACGGCAAACAGAGGGGAAAGUCCCGAGUUUAAGAUGGUCAUACAUUACAAAAGAAAACCCAGGACUCAAAGCAGGAGUCCACCUCUAGCCGAGAUUCAAGCAAGGAGUUCCUGAUCUCUACCCGUGGGCCUUCGAGUUCCCUUUCCCGGCUGAUAACUGAGGGCCUGCGGGGUAUCCAAGCGUUCAAGGCUGAGGGUACACAGCUGUCUGCAGACUUCGAAUCUGAAAGAACCGAAACUAGGCUACAUGAAGUCGGGCAGGGGAUCAGCUGGAGUUUAAGUACGGAAUGAAAACAGAAUGUGAGCCAUUACAAUUCUUCAGACUGUUGUUCCUGGAAGCCCGCCAGCCCAAGCUGCUCUAUUUCAGAGCAGGAAGGUUCACCUGGAACAGCAGCUGAGGGAGGUCCAGAGGCCGGGUGGGAAGACUGUAAGAUGACCAGGAUCCACAGCAGCCUUACAGCUGUGGUUGCUCAAGCUCUGAAUGCAUACAUGGCCAUACAUGUAAUUUUUGAAAUUGCCUACUUUGGGUGUGUCAUCUCUACUCAUAGUGAAAUACUCAUGCUUGGCUGCUUCGGGAUGCAUACGGAGAAUUGGAUUAUUUGCUGAGGGUUAAGGAAAUUACUAGAAGCCCUGGGAGACCACAGCUGAGGAGAUGAGGAAUGCUGGGUUUCCACUCUCCACACAGACAAGUGUGCGAUGGAGGAGACCAGAAGGAAGCGUCAAGGUGCCUGGAAUCAAAUUGUGACCUGUCAUUCUCGGAGAUGAGUGAUAUCCCUUUAAGAAGAGGCUCUUCCUUGCCAAAAAAAAGAAAAAAAAAAAAAAAAAAAAAGAAAAAAAAAAAAAAAAAAAAAGAGAAGAGCUGAUGCCAAUCCUGGUCACUAUGUAUGGUUUUGUUCUUGACAUUUGAAAAGAACCAGAGAAGAGCUUUAAAGGUUCAUCCACAAGCGGAUGGUGCGUGGGCAGUCUUAAGACCCCAACAGCUGGUGUGCUGGGAUGGGUAACUUGUCUCCCUGAAGGCAAAGGAUCCAGAAGGUCAACUGCGGACAGCGAGUCUAGUCUUAAGCCUUUGCAUAAAUACGGAACGACACACAGAAACUCUGUUCCCCAAUGUGGGGUCAUUUUCGGCUGCAUCCUAUCUAAAAUGAGGUGGAGAUGACUUGAUGUGGGGGAAACUGGGGGAGCCCCAAGUCCUGGAGAGAUGUAGGAGAGCCUGCCCCGUGAGACUCGGGACUGGGAAACAGGUGAGGAGUCCUCACUUGUAGCAUAGGGACCAUCUGCCUCCUAGGGUUCCCCAGGGGAUGAGCUACACAAAGUUGGCAGAACUCCUGCCCUGUUGGCUGAGAUCUAGGAAGACCUUUGAUACA